rnacentral:rRNA from 1 species
GACGAACGCUGGCGGCGUGCUUAACACAUGCCAGUCGAACGGAAAGGCCCCUUUGGGGGUACUCGAGUGGCGCACGGGUGAGUAACACGUGAGUAACCUGCCCUUGACUUCGGGAUAACUUCAGGAAACUGGGGCUAAUACCGGAUAGGAAUCCUUGCUGCAUGGUGGGGGUUGGAAAGCUUCGGCGGUUUUGGAUGGACUCGCGGCUUAUCAGCUUGUUGGUGGGGUAGUGGCUUACCAAGGCUUUGACGGGUAGCCGGCCUGAGAGGGCGACCGGCCACAUUGGGACUGAGAUACGGCCCAGACUCCUACGGGAGGCAGCAGUGGGGAAUAUUGCACAAUGGGCGGAAGCCUGAUGCAGCAACGCCGCGUGCGGGAUGACGGCCUUCGGGUUGUAAACCGCUUUCAGCAGGGGCGAAGCUUGUGGUGACGGUACCUGCAGAAGAAGCACCGGCUAACUACGUG